rnacentral:snRNA from 1 species
GUGCUCACUUUGGCAGCACAUAUACUUAAAUUGGAAUGGUACAAAGAAGAUUAGCAUGGCCCCUGCUCAAGGAUGACAUGCAAAUUGGUGAAGCAUUUCAUAUUUUU